rnacentral:rRNA from 1 species
AUGAAGAACACCAAGCUCGUGGCGAUCCUUGUCCUCCAGGCCAUCCUGGUCAUGGGAAUCCUCACACACGUGAAUGCCAACUACUUUCCCAAGUGUUGUGACAAAUGCAGGUCAUUCUCGGGGGUUGAUGUAUGUGACGACGCGCAUCCUCAAUGCCCCAAGGGCUGCUCCACAUGCCGCGUGGUGCAGACAGGCCGUGUCAAGAUGUUCCGGUGUGCCCACAUGCGCUCCACCAUCAAUGGCACAUGCGGCCCACGUUGCAAAAAGAACUAA